GACGAACGCUGGCGGCGUGCCUAAUACAUGCAAGUCGAGCGAGCAGAACCAGCAGAUUUACUUCGGUAAUGAUGCUGGGGACGCGAGCGGCGGAUGGGUGAGUAACACGUGGGGAACCUGCCCCAUAGUCUGGGAUACCACUUGGAAACAGGUGCUAAUACCGGAUAAGAAAGCAGAUCGCAUGAUCAGCUUAUAAAAGGCGGCGCAAGCUGUCGCUAUGGGAUGGCCCCGCGGUGCAUUAGCUAGUUGGUAAGGUAACGGCUUACCAAGGCAAUGAUGCAUAGCCGAGUUGAGAGACUGAACGGCCACAUUGGGACUGAGACACGGCCCAAACUCCUACGGGAGGCAGCAGUAGGGAAUCUUCCACAAUGGACGCAAGUCUGAUGGAGCAACGCCGCGUGAGUGAAGAAGGUUUUCGGAUCGUAAAGCUCUGUUGUUGGUGAAGAAGGAUAGAGGUAGUAACUGGCCUUUAUUUGACGGUAAUCAACCAGAAAGUCACGGCUAACUACGUGCCAGCAGCCGCGGUAAUACGUAGGUGGCAAGCGUUGUCCGGAUUUAUUGGGCGUAAAGCGAGCGCAGGCGGAAGAAUAAGUCUGAUGUGAAAGCCCUCGGCUUAACCGAGGAACUGCAUCGGAAACUGUUUUUCUUGAGUGCAGAAGAGGAGAGUGGAACUC
rnacentral:rRNA from 1 species